CCUACGGGAGGCAGCAGUAGGGAAUAUUCCUCAAUGGGGGAAACCCUGAAGCAGCAACGCCGCGUGGGGGAUGAAGGUUUUCGGAUUGUAAACUCCUUUUGUAAGAGAAGAUAAUGACGGUAUCUAACGAAUAAGCACCGGCUAACUCCGUUCCAGCAGCCGCGGUAAUACGGAGGGUUCAAGAGUUACUCGGAAUCACUGGGCGUAAAGAGCGCGUAGGCGGGAUAGCAAGUCAGAUGUGAAAUCCUAUGGCUUAACCAUAGAACUGCAUUUGAAACUGUUAUUCUAGAGUAUGGGAGAGGUAGGUGGAAUUCUUGGUGUAGGGGUGAAAUGCGUAGAGAUAAAGAGGAAUACUCAUUGCGAAGGCGACCUGCUAGAACAUAACUGACGCUGAUGCGCGAAAGCGUGGGGAGCAAACAGGAUUAGAUACCCCUGUAGUC
rnacentral:rRNA from 1 species